rnacentral:rRNA from 1 species
UACGGAGGGGGCUAGCGUUGUUCGGAAUUACUGGGCGUAAAGCGCACGUAGGCGGCUUUGCAAGUCAGAGGUGAAAGCCCGGGGCUCAACCCCGGAAUUGCCUUUGAGACUGCAUCGCUAGAAUUGUGGAGAGGUAAGUGGAAUUCCGAGUGUAGAGGUGAAAUUCGUAGAUAUUCGGAAAGAACACCAGUGGCGAAGGCGACUUACUGGACACAUAUUGACGCUGAGGUGCGAAAGCGUGGGGAGCAACAGGAUUAAGAU